rnacentral:lncRNA from 10 species
ACCAAAGAACCAAGACCAGGACAUGGGGGAGAGCAGGUUUAGUGGAGAAAAGCAAUGGAUUUGGAGUGAGGACGUAUGUGUGAAGGUCCUGAUGAGCAAACUUUAGGUCCUUCAGCAACUCAGGUGACCUUUCUGGACCUCUUCUGAAAUGGGGACAACAAUGCUUGCUCAGAGGGCUGCUGAGAAGAUCAGGUAUUCUGCCCAUCAGAUCUCUCAAGGAGGAGGAUGACAGGAUUUUAAACCUGAAGGCAUCAGGACAAAAAACAGCAGCACAGGGGAUCCACAAACAGGAUUCUUUCAACUGAAUAAUGAAGUCUUCUCCCUCCAGCAUGAUGGCAGACUACAUCUUCAUAAGGGCCAACCCACUCAAUAACGACGAGGUCCAGGAUUAAACCUACUUUUUAAUGCAGUGUGAAACUGCAAGAUGUCAGGGAAAUCCCAAGGGACUAUUCCCCUACCCCACACCUCAGCAAACUAAAACAAAACCAUGAGCUGAAACCAGAGGUGAAAAUACUGAAGGUAAGCAAAUACGAAUGGCGAAGUGGCCUGGAAAACAAACGCCAUAUUGACAGUUGAUGAAGAGAUCAAGCCUUGGAACAGAACGAGGUGAGGUGGCUGAACCUGAGGCACUCACCUCCAACACAAAAGGAGGCUAGCAUUGGUCCCUUCUAGGGAGGGAGGAUGGAUGGCAAUGAUCCCAGCUCAGGCAGAAGCAAUUGUAAAUCCUUGUUGGAGAAAAGUAUCCCUAAAGCAGUCUCUCAGGAUUAGCACCGAUUAAGAUGAAGCAAGUGGAGCUCAUGAUCUAAGACCAUGAACACACCAGAAAAGUGAAGUUAAAAAGAGUAGAAAAAACAAACAAGAUUCAGACCUUUAAGGACUUUAGAGUUUGGAACUUCCAGACACAAGACAAAAAAUAACAACGUAAAAAAUGUUUUUAAGAAAUAGUUGACCAGGCUGGGUGUGGUGGCUCACGCCUGUAAUCCCAGCACUUUGGGAGGCUGAGGCGGGCAGAUCACG